rnacentral:rRNA from 1 species
AGGUUACUGCUAUCGAGGUUCGACUAAGCCAUGCGAGUCGAAUGUAGCAAUACAUGGCGUACUGCUCAGUAACACGUGGACAACCUACCCUUAGGACGGGGAUAAACCCGGGAAACUGGGUAUAAUACCCGAUAGUCCUCGAAUGCUGGAAUGCAUCGCGGACUAAAGCUCCGGCGCCUAAGGAUGGGUCUGCGGCCUAUCAGGUAGUAGUGGGUGUAGCGUACCUACUAGCCAACGACGGGUACGGGUUGUGAGAGCAAGAGCCCGGAGAUGGAUUCUGAGACACGAAUCCAGGCCCUACGGGGUGCAGCAGGCGCGAAAACUUUACAAUGCUGGAAACAGCGAUAAGGGGACCUCGAGUGCCAGGUUACAAAUCUGGCUGUCGUGAUGCCUAAAAAGCAUUGCAUAGCAAGGGCCGGGCAAGACCGGUGCCAGCCGCCGCGGUAACACCGGCGGCUCGAGUGGUAACCGUUAUUAUUGGGUCUAAAGGGUCUGUAGCCGGCCGGAUAAGUCUCUUGGGAAAUCUGGCAGCUUAACUGUCAGGCUUUCAGGAGAUACUGUCUGGCUCGAGGCCGGGAGAGGUGAGAGGUACUUCAGGGGUAGGGGUGAAAUCUUGUAAUCCUUGAAGGACCACCAGUGGCGAAGGCGUCUCACCAGAACGGACCUGACGGCAAGGGACGAAAGCUAGGGGCACGAACCGGAUUAGAUACCCGGGUAGUCCUAGCCGUAAACGAUACUCGCUAGGUGUCGGCCACGGUGCGACCGUUGUCGGUGCCGUAGGGAAGCCGUGAAGCGAGCCACCUGGGAAGUACGGCCGCAAGGCUGAAACUUAA